GGGAUCAAACCGUUGAAGCUUGCGACGGUUCAGGUGCACCGCCUGCCAAUCCCCGCGCUUCUCUUUCUAGAAGCCGCUCGCCAACUGCCCAUCCCAACACCUUCACGAAACCGCAAUUCCCUGGCGGCAAUUUGCAAGUUAGGGAUGUGGUUAACAAUGUAUCUGAUGCGUCCAGCAUCUUGCCAAGGUUUUCUGGCUUCGGAAGCGUGCCACUAGCUGCUCCCUCGUUGCUCCCAAGUUCAGGAGGCGUCAUUGCAGGUGCUUGCAUUUAACAAUCGCUUUUCAAUUCUUCCGCUAUACUUAAUGCAGUUCUUUUUUUCUCUCCAGGUCUAAGUUUUUGAUAACAACAACAAUGAUAAUAACAGUAACAAGGAAUCACAAGUCCAACUCAAAACUUACAGUGUACACGAAAUCAAGCUCAGUGUAGGAAUGGUCAUGUUUCCAUGCGGAUAUCGCCCCCAAGUGUUGAUUGCUCUCCCACGGAAGGUCCAUCUAACAAGGGUGACGCAUUCGGUUUGCAGAU
rnacentral:lncRNA from 1 species